rnacentral:rRNA from 1 species
UACGAAGGGGGCUAGCGUUGCUCGGAAUCACUGGGCGUAACGCGCACGUAGGCGGCUUUCUAAGUCAGGGGUGAAAUCCUGGAGCUCAACUCCAGAACUGCCUUUGAUACUGGGAAGCUCGAGUCCGGAAGAGGUGAGUGGAACUCCGAGUGUAGAGGUGAAAUUCGUAGAUAUUCGGAAGAACACCAGUGGCGAAGGCAGCACUCUGGGACGUGACUGACGCUGAGACGCGAAAGCGUGGGGAGCAAACAGG